GUGGGAGAGAGGAAGAAGAGGAGGGGGUGAUGUGGGAGUGGGGACUAAAUGACGUAAUUGGUUAGGGGUUAUUUGUGGAGGUGUAAUUAAAGGGGGAGUAAUUAGAGAGGGUAAAAUGUAUAGUGUAUAGUGUACAGUGUAUACAUGCAUGGGACGCCCAGGCUGGCGAGGCAUCAUCCUAAAGGGGUCCAGUGAGCAGGGCACCGCCAACAGCAGUAGCAGCAGCAGCAGGAAUAGCAGAGCAGCAGCGGCAGCAGCAGCAUUAGGAGCGAGUGUGGUGCAGGGCCACUGGGACAAGGCCGGGGUGUAUGGGGCAUGGCGUGGGCAUGGACAUGGGAGGGGCGGCAAGCGUGGUAAUGGGUAUAGGGGAGGAGGGCGGACAGCUGACGCCUCCCGGGCGGUGGGGGGUGGGAGCCUCCCGCCGUUACUUUGCAAUGUUGCAGCUGGCGUCCCCCCCUUCCUGCUCCCCACCGAGGCAGGCCGGCCAGCGUCCUGCGGCAGAGCAUCGGGCGGCGUGCAGGCCGGGGCGGCAGUGUGGCGGGGCCAGCCUUCCUGACGGUGGCGACGCAACGGCACUGGCGGCGUGUGGCGGCGUGGGUCGCCCCGGCAACCGUUGCCAUGGUGACGAGUCGGAGAUUUGAUACCGCCACGCUGAAUGGAUUAUUGAUGCAACGCCGCUGGUUCCCGCUGCAACCACCAGAUGCCGCGCCAAUCGCCGCCGUCUUAAUUAUAAGGAGAAUGUAGGCAAUUAACGCAGUAAGGAGAUUAGCGCAUUGUACCAGUAAUUAGUCGGCGUCGGGGCGGCGCGGGAGCAUCAAGGUGCCACUCUGGCUGGAGGCGCGGACGGGGGCGCCACCUCGCGCUCCUCUCUACUGACGGAGGAAGGGAGGGCCUUCACACCACGCCCAGGGGCCCGCGUUUGGAGUACGUGCAUCAGACGAGGACCAGAUGACGAGGUUCAUGAGAGAGGGAGACGGAGAUGAGCAACACGGCAAGGCGCGCAUGACGGGUGGCGAGGACGAAUGGGAGGCGCGGCAGAUAACAAAAAGAAAUCGGAAGACUACAAUACGAGCAGCAGUGGUGGGAAAUAACACGAAGAUUUCAGACAGGAGUCCCUCAAUGCCAGUCAGGAAUACGUAAUCUCUGGCAGUGAACGCACCUAACGCCCAAACUCAGCCAACAGAACGAAGCUUUAGGCAAAUCCCAAACAGAAAACUUACGCAUUUACAUUUUGCAUUACGUCUUAAUCUGAAAUAGCCACUAAUAAUAUUCUUGAAGGAAAGGUGUUUUGUUUGACUUUUAUCAGACGGAAAAAAAUAUAUAUGAAAAAAACGUAGAUAAGUAAGCCAAAAUAACCCACAAAAACUACAACAUCAAAGGCAAAUAAUUACGUGUGUAUUAGAGUUUAGUCAUAUUCUUUAGUGGCCAUUCCCUGAAAGAAAAAAUAGAGAGAAAAAAAAAGUGAAAAUACAAAUCUCCCUGUUUCUUUAGCGUGUGAGGUGGUGGUGAAAAGAAGAGAAUCGCGCACUUGUUGUUGAGUCCAGUUAAAGGUUUUUGAGGCGAGGAGGGAAAAAUGCGCGAGUGAAGUGACGAAGCAACAGGCGAGUUUGUGAAGGGACUCAGGACACGACGAGAGGACCAUGAUGAGCCAGAAAAGGAGGAAAUCACGGUGACUAUGACGUCUGAAGUGCGGCAAGAAAAAGAUGGCGAGGAUGAGGACGAGGAGGAGUAGGAGGAAGGAAGAAAUUAAAGAGGAGGAAAAGAUGGAGGAGAAAAAGGAAUAAGAAAGGGUUGGAGGAUACAAAAUCAUUCUAUUCUUUUUCAUUCUUUCUCUAUGUACAUCUUGUAUGAUAGAUAUUUUUUUCUUUCCUUUUUUUCUAUUUGGGACUUUUCUUUCCUUACUUCCUACCUUUUCUUCUAUCAUCCUUUCCAUCUUUUCUCUUUACAUUCCUCAUUUUUCAUGCAUCUUCAACAUUUAGUCUUCUAUUUUCUCUUUUCUCUUCCUCCUGCCCCUCCUGCUUCUGUUUCUCCUCCUCCUCCUCCUCCUCCUCCUCCUCCUCCUCCUCCUCCUCCUCCUCCUCCUCCUCCUCCUCCUCCUGCUCUUCUUCCUUCUCCUCCUCCUUCUUCUCCUCCUCCUCCUCCUCCUCCUCCUCCUUCUCCACUUCCUCCUUUUCCUUCUCCACUUCCUCCUCCUCCUUCUUCUCCUCCUCCUCCUCCUCCUCCUCCUCCUCCUCCUCCUCCUCCUCCUCCUCCUCCUCCUCCUCCUCCUCCUCCUUCUUCUCCUUCUUCUCCUUCUCCUCCUCCUCCUCCUCCUCCUCGGAAGUUCCCAGGCGCCGUGGACAACUUUCCCCACUCAGGGAGCGGCAACCCACCGGGGCAAGACGUGACUCUCCACCUGCUCCUCCACCACACAUCCUGCUCCUCCACCCAGCUCCACCAGGCUCCACCCCGCCACGCCCCGCCCCGCCCUGAACAGACCCGCCCCACCACGCCGCUAGCCAUGCAUAGCUGUUAUUUGCGUUUUGUUUCUUUCCUUGAGUUUAUUAGUGUCUGUAAUUUCGUCCUCUUCUCAGCUAAGUUUUCUCUCUCUCUCUCUCUCUCUCUCUCUCUCUCUCUCUCUCUCUCUCUCUCUCUCUCUCUCUCUCUCUCUCUCUCUCUCUCUCUCUCUCUUAUCUAUAUGUUCUUUUUUUCAUAUCCUCAGGCUUAAAUUCAGUGUUUCUCUCAUUUUUUUUUUCUUUUCGUUUACUUACCUGCUAUUGUUUGUAUAUGUCUCAGUCUCCCUUUAUUUAUUUAUUUUUUGUCUUAGUGUUCAUCAUUCUCUGUCCCUCUGUGCUUGUCUGUCUUUGUUUGUUACUCUUUCUUCUCAGCCUCAAUCUCAGUCUUGUUCUUUUUCUUUUAUAUAAUUCUGCAUCUAUCAGUUUGUUUUUUCGUCUUUGUUAUGGUCUCUCUCUCUCUCUCUCUCUCUCUCUCUCUCUCUCUCUCUCUCUCUCUCUCUCUCUCUCUCUCUCUCUCUCUCUCUCUCUCUCUCUCU